rnacentral:rRNA from 1 species
UACGGGGGGAGCUAACGUUGUUCGGAUUUACUGGGCGUAAAGGGGGUGUAGGCGGCUUGAUAAGUGGGGAGUGAAACCCUUCGGCUCAACCGAAGACCUGCUUUCCAAACUGUUAGGCUUGAGUCCGGGAGGGGAGACGGGAAUUCCUGGUGUAGCGGUGAAAUGCGCAGAUAUCAGGAGGAACACCGGUGGCGAAGGCGCGUCUCUGGACCGGUACUGACGCUGAGACCCGAAAGCGUGGGGAGCAAACAGG